AGCUUUGCGCAGUGGCAGUAUCGUAGCCAAUGAGGUUUAUCCGAGGCGCAAUUAUUGCUAAUUAAAAUAUAUUAAGCAAUUACAGAUGUUAAGGAAAAAAAGAAACAAUAUAAUAAUCAUAGGGUACUUCAGUAC